rnacentral:misc_RNA from 1 species
GUGAGUCAUCGAAUCUUUGAACGCACAUUGCGCCCGCCAGUAUUCUGGCGGGCAUGCCUGUCUGAGCGUCAUUUCAACCCUCAAGCAACUUCUGCUUGGUGUUGGGGAUCGGCCGUCAAACGCCGCCCCCGAAAUCUAUUGGCGAUCUCGCUGUAGCUUCCUAUGCGUAGUAGUAACAUCUCGCAUCUGGAGAGCGGCGCGGUCAUGCCGUAAAACACCCAACUUUUCAGGUUGACCUCAGAUCAGGUAGGAAUACCCGCUGAACUUAAGCAUAUCAAUAAGCGGAGGA